CUCCUUUGACGUUAGCGGCGGACGGGUGAGUAACACGUGGGUAACCUACCUAUAAGACUGGGAUAACUUCGGGAAACCGGAGCUAAUACCGGAUAAUAUUUCGAACCGCAUGGUUCGAUAGUGAAAGGUGGUUUUGCUAUCACUUAUAGAUGGACCCGCGCCGUAUUAGCUAGUUGGUAAGGUAACGGCUUACCAAGGCGACGAUACGUAGCCGACCUGAGAGGGUGAUCGGCCACACUGGAACUUAGACACGGUCCAGACUCCUACGGGAGGCAGCAGUC
rnacentral:rRNA from 1 species